GACGAACGCUGGCGGCGUGCUUAACACAUGCAAGUCGAACGGAAAGGCCCAGCUUGCUGGGUGCUCGAGUGGCGAACGGGUGUGUAACACGCGGGUGAACUGCCUCUAACUUCGGGAUAAGCCUGGGAAACUGGGUCUAAUACCCGAUAGGGCAAUUGCUGCGUGUCGGUUGUGGUAAGUUUUUUUGGUUAGGGAUGAGCCCGCGGCCUAUCAGCUUGUUGGUGGGGUAAUGGCUUACCAAGGCGUCGACGGGUAGCCGGCCUGAGAGGGUGGACGGCCACAUUGGGACUGAGAUACGGCCCAGACUCCUACGGGAGGCAGCAGUGGGGAAUAUUGCACAAUGGGCGCAAGCCUGAUGCAGCGACGCCGCGUGGGGGAUGACGGCCUUCGGGUUGUAAACCUCUUUCGACAGGGACGAAGCUUUGGUGACGGUACCUGGAUAAGAAGCACCGGCUAACUACGUG
rnacentral:rRNA from 1 species